rnacentral:misc_RNA from 1 species
AAGUCGUAACAAGGUUUCCGUAGGUGAACCUGCGGAAGGAUCAUUAACACUGAACCUUCAAUGUGCUCGUACACUUUGUCAAAGCGAGGCAAUCCCUGGUAAAUCAUCGCCGAACAGUUUUGAUUCUGGGACUUCCUCAAAGAGUGUGCAUGUUGCGCGAGGCAAGUGGCCUGGCAUUCCCAAGCAGUUAAUGUCUGAAAGUGUCAUUAGAUGUGUAAGGAUGACGCAGUAACGAUCGUUGGAGGCCGACACGGCCGACGACCGGGUCACCGGGCGCAAGCCCCUUUAUCACCACUUAAUGCAUGACAGACGCGCCAGCGCUUAAUUGUGCGGCGACCAAAAACUGAACAACUGUUAACAAUGGAUAUCUUGGUUCUC